UACGUAGGGUGCAAGCGUUGUCCGGAAUUAUUGGGCGUAAAGAGCUCGUAGGCGGUCUGUCGCGUCGGCUGUGAAAUCCCGGAGCUCAACUCCGGGUCUGCAGUCGAUACGGGCAAACUGGAGUACUGCAGGGGAGACUGGAAUUCCUGGUGUAGCGGUGAAAUGCGCAGAUAUCAGGAGGAACACCGGUGGCGAAGGCGGGUCUCUGGGCCGAUACUGACACUGAGGAGCGAAAGCGUGGGGAGCGAACAGG
rnacentral:rRNA from 1 species